CAUCUACUCCCUUCGUCCGGAAAUACUUGUCGGAGAAAUGGAUGUAUCUAGACAUAUUUUAGUUCUAGAUACAUCCAUUUUUAUUCAUUUCCGCGACAAGUAAUUUCGGACGGAGGGAGUAUAGU
rnacentral:pre_miRNA from 1 species